GUGCUCACUUGGGCAGUACAUAUAUUAAAACUGGAACGAUACAGAGAAAAUCAGCAAGGCUCCUGUGCAAGGAUGAGAUACAAAUUUGUGAAGGGUUGGUAUUUUUU
rnacentral:snRNA from 1 species